rnacentral:rRNA from 1 species
ACKGCUCAGUAACACGUGGACAACCUACCCUGAGGAGGGGGAUAACCCCGGAAAACUGGGGAUAAUACCCCAUAGAUUAAGGAGGCUGGAAUGCCCCUUAGUUCAAAGGUCCGCCGCCUCAGGAUGGGUCUGCGGCCGAUUAGGUUGUUGUUGGGGUAACGGCCCAACAAGCCUUUGAUCGGUACGGGUUGUGGGAGCAAGAGCCCGGAGAUGGAUUCUGAGACACGAAUCCAGGCCCUACGGGGCGCAGCAGGCGCGAAAACUUUACAAUGCGAGAAAUCGUGAUAAGGGAACCCCGAGUGCCCGUAAAUUCGGGCUGUCCGCCAGCGUAAAAAACUGGUGAAGAAAGAGCCGGGCAAGACCGGUGCCAGCCGCCGCGGUAAUACCGGCGGCUCGAGUGGUGGCCACUAUUACUGGGCUUAAAGCGUCCGUAGCUUGGUUGCUAAGUCUCCUGGGAAAUCCAUCGGCUCAACCGAUGGGCGUUCAGGAGAUACUGGCAACCUAGGGACCGGGAGAGGUGAGAGGUACUCCAGGGGUAGGAGUGAAAUCCUGUAAUCCUUGGGGGACCACCUGUGGCGAAGGCGUCUCACUAGAACGGCUCCGACAGUGAGGGACGAAAGCUGGGGGAGCAAACCGGAUUAGAUACCCGGGUAGUCCCAGCUGUAAACGAUGCGCGUUAGGUGUAUCGGUGACCACGAGUCACCGAGGUGCCGAAGAGAAAUCGUGAAACGUGCCGCCUGGGAAGUACGGUCGCAAGGCUGAAACUUAAAGGAAUUGGCGGGGGAGCAC